GGACACGUCGCUCGACUUGAAUACUUUCUGCCGAGAAAACCAGCUGGCAGAGAAUGUCCAGGCGCUGAUCGAUGAGGAGGCCAUGCACGCUUUGUGCUCAGUGAUAAAGCAGAAAGUCAUGCUGACCUUUGCUGACAUGAGCACUGUGGAGACAGCACUGGAAGGCAAAACAGAGAGCAUCCUGAAUUCCUGCUUCAACAGUGUCUUCUUUUUGCCUCCGGAACUGGACGUACCAGAAGAGGAGCAAACUCUCUACACUAAGACCAUGAUUGCCAUGAACGUCAUGCUGCGAGCCUUGGUGCACAACUGCCCCAGCUCCAGAAUGAGGGAGGAGAUGUGCAGCAUCUUUCAGGCUCUGCUCCACUUCUUCCACUCCCAGCACAUGCACGUUCGUACGAGAGCCCUGUACGGGGUUUUACGAAUGAUCACGGACUUUAUAGAAAAAGACUGGUACUGCGCUGCAAAUUGCGGGUUUAUAUAUGAGUCACUCAUCGAGGUCUACUUCCCAAUCCUGGGACAGCUGCUGGGUCACCUCUGCCUUUUCAGUUGUGGCCAACAUGCCACCAGAGUUCCAGCUACAGAUGCUCUUUAUCGCCUCUAUGCAUUUGUCAAACGCGAUAGAAGAACAGCCCUGACAGAGGAGAUGGAAAAGUACGUGCAUCUCCGGGAGAAGCUGCAGGAUACUAAUUUUGCAUGCGAUAACUUGUGCAGUCCCAGUGAUUGUGCCAAGGCGUUUGGAGGAUACCUCAGGCCUGCUGAGAGGAUGGACGUCGUCCUCACAGCCCUUGAAGCGAUGGUUGACUCCAACAUCUAUGACAAGGAGGUGGCCUGCAGUGUGAUGGCCGUGGCCAUGGAAGACCACGCCUUCUGGCUAUCAGAUGUAAGCACCUUGGAGAAGGUUUUGAAGGAGCUGACCAAGGGCUCACAGCUGAGCAGGCUGCUAGAAGGAGUCACAGAAGACACGUGCAUCCUCUUCUUGGCUCUAAUGGCAAAGAGUGAAGAUAAUGAAGACUUUUUGGGUGACCUACGCCACCUCGAGACUUAUCUGAAGCAUCCAAGUGUGGAGAUGCGCACGGUGGUGCUCAGAGGGCUUGUCAUACUCUCCGAGACACGGGAGAAGGCAAGAAAAAUGGAGGUCGUGCUGCCAGAGAUCAUGGCCACCCUGCAGGCUGCCAGCGCAGACGUCAAGAUGAAGGCCCUGUUUGUCAUCCAAAACAUCAUGGGCCACGUGAAGAGGAAGGAGGCCAGCUCCAUCGCUGUGCAGCACGCUGAGGAGCUCCUGCCUCUCUUUGUCGAUGUAAGUGAGGCUGCUGAGGGAGGCAGAGCCCUCGCAGGGGCACUCUGUAGUGUCAGUGCCUCUGGCCUGGCUGUGUGGGCAGCACUGGCACUCGCACUGGGCCCUCCGCCCCCCUCGCUCCUCCUGGGGCUCCUUCCGGGCAGGGGAACAGCUGUGGGCCCUCGGAGAGCCCUGUGCCCAGCAUCUGCUCCCCGCAGUUGGCUUCCGGCCCUCCAUGCCUCCUCCGCUGCCUGUGCAAGGCCAGCCAGGCCUGGUCCCCACGCACGGUGCAGGAAGGUGGAGGCCUGCAGGCGCUGCGUGCCAUGGAGGCGGUGUGAAGGCGGUCCGGCCUCCUCGUGCUAAAAUUCUCUGCCUCUCCUCUGCUCCUGGCUGCAGAACAGUACAGCACAUUCCUCUGCACUCCCAAGGCCAUGGCUGUCCAAGCUGCUGGCUUGGCUGAGUGAAGAGGAAUUGUCUUAGGCCACAUAUAUGUACGCAGGUUUAAUGAAUGGAAGUAACAAACCUUCUUUGUGUAUAUGCAUGUAUUUAAUAAAAUCUUUUUAAAUAUUCA
ensembl:lncRNA